CACAACUGACGCUUAGGCUCGAAAGUGUGGGGAGCAAAUAGGAUUAGAUACCCUAGUAGUCCACACCGUAAACGAUGGGUGUUAAACGUCGGGAUUUAAUCUCGGUGUUGUAGUUAACACAUUAAACACCCUGCCUGGGUAGUACAUUCGCAAGAAUGAAACUCAAACGGAAUUGACGGGGACCCGCACAAGUGGUGGAGCAUGUUGUUUAAUUCGACGAUACACGUAGAACCUUACCUAGACUUGACAUCCUUGGCGAAGUUAUAGAAAUAUAAUGGAGGUUAACCGAGAGACAGGUGGUGCAUGGUUGUCGUCAGCUCGUGUCGUGAGAUGUUGGGUUAAGUCCCGCAACGAGCGCAACCCUUAUCGUUAGUUAUUUUGUCUAACGAGACUGCCAACGCAAGUUGGAGGAAGGUGGGGAUGACGUCAAAUCAUCAUGCCCCUUAUGUCUAGGGCCACAAACGUGCUACAAUGGUCGGUACAAACAGUCGCUAAUUCGUAAGAUAGAGCU
rnacentral:rRNA from 1 species